rnacentral:rRNA from 1 species
GACGAACGCUGGCGGCGUGCCUAAUACAUGCAAGUCGAGCGAAGUUUUUCUGGUGCUUGCACCGGAAAAACUUAGCGGCGAACGGGUGAGUAACACGUAAAGAACCUGCCUCAUAGACUGGGACAACUAUUGGAAACGAUAGCUAAUACCGGAUAAUAGCAUUAACUGCAUGGUUGAUGUUUAAAAGUUGGUUUUGCUAACACUAUGAGAUGGCUUUGCGGUGCAUUAGCUAGUUGGUGGGGUAAAGGCCUACCAAGGCGACGAUGCAUAGCCGACCUGAGAGGGUGAUCGGCCACACUGGGACUGAGACACGGCCCAGACUCCUACGGGAGGCAGCAGUAGGGAAUCUUCCGCAAUGGGCGAAAGCCUGACGGAGCAACGCCGCGUGAGUGAAGAAGGAUUUCGGUUCGUAGAGCUCUGUUGUUAGGGAAGAAUGAUUGUGUAGUAACUAUACACAGUAGAGACGGUACCUAACCAGAAAGCCACGGCUAACUACGUG